AUGUUUGAUGUUCUAACGUGGACCCGUGAUCCGGGUUGCGGACAGUGUCUGGUGGGUAGUUUGACUGGGGCGGUCUCCUCCUAAAGAGUAACGGAGGAGCACGAAGGUUGGCUAAUCCUGGUCGGACAUCAGGAGGUUAGUGCAAUGGCAUAAGCCAGCUUGACUGCGAGCGUGACGGCGCGAGCAGGUGCGAAAGCAGGUCAUAGUGAUCCGGUGGUUCUGAAUGGAAGGGCCAUCGCUCAACGGAUAAAAGGUACUCCGGGGAUAACAGGCUGAUACCGCCCAAGAGUUCAUAUCGACGGCGGUGUUUGGCACCUCGAUGUCGGCUCAUCACAUCCUGGGGCUGAAGUAGGUCCCAAGGGUAUGGCUGUUCGCCAUUUAAAGUGGUACGCGAGCUGGGUUUAGAACGUCGUGAGACAGUUCGGUCCCUAUCUGCCGUGGGCGCUGGAGAACUGAGGGGGGCUGCUCCUAGUACGAGAGGACCGGAGUGGACGCAUCACUGGUGUUCGGGUUGUCAUGCCAAUGGCACUGCCCGGUAGCUAAAUGCGGAAGAGAUAAGUGCUGAAAGCAUCUAAGCACG
rnacentral:rRNA from 1 species